AUCUUAGUGUGGUAAACAUAGAAAGAUAAGCUACUUGCCAGGCUGGGAUCUGAGGAUUGAAGUUUGAAGCCAGCCCAAUCAGAAAAGUCUUUGAGAAUCUUAUCUCCAGUUAACCAUUAAAAAGCCAGAAGUGGAAGUGUGGCUCAAGUGGUAG